AGCACUAAAACAGAAAACACUUGCUCCUUAUGGCACAAGUGAGAAGGCACCACAUGAAAGGGGAAGCGGGCAGCGUAGGAGGAGAGGAGAAGCAAAAAUCCCGCGUAUGCAUUUUGCUUCAAACAACCCCGUGAAUGUGGCAUCGGAAGAAAAGUCUUUUUAGUCAAUAAUCAACCGCACACUUUCUUCUGAAACUGCUGAGCCGUCGCUCGCCCCGGUGCCCGACAGAAUAGCGAGAGGCACCUCCGAGCCCCGACGGAGCCCCUCGGAAUAAAAAGGAGAAUGUGGCGGAGGGAGCACCGAGGAUUAAGAAACCUACGGACGCCGGGACCGGGCCGGGCCGGGCAGGGAGCGUUGCCGAGAGCGGGUGCCGUCCUUCCCUCUGAGGGCUUUAUAACUUCGGAGCCGGAUAUUCUGACACCAUAAGAAAACAAAACCAAAACCCAAACAAAAUCAAAUUGAAUAAAACCCCACCGUACUUCUGAGGCUUCUUAUUGCUGGAAGACGCUGCUGCCUCUCGGCUCAGCUUCUCCUCACCGAGGAGGACCAAAGAGGAGCCUCGGUUCAUUCGGGAUGGGGAACCCGCUGCACAGAGCUGAGCGCCCGGGCAGCCCUCCGCGCACGGCAAGCAAAGCACCACCGAAGCAUCAUAAAUAAAAUGGCAGCACAAUCGCGUAUUCGUCAAUUUCCAGCUCGGCAUCGGCCGAACAAACGCGCAUAAAACAACCUCCGUCGCACACCCGAGAGCGACCCCAGCCCGUGUGCAUCCCCCACCCCCCACCCCCCUCCAGCCCCGAUCCUCGCAAAUACAUAAGUAAACAAACGCAGCAACCGAACAAAACCAAAUGUAUUUGAAUUAAAAAUAAUAAUAAUAAAAAGAAUCAUCCUCAUCCACAUGCCAAAAACGCUAAAAGGAGCCUUCCCGUCUCCCGCCGGCCAUAAAUAACGAUAAGAUGGCAAUCGAGGGGCCGGAGCGGAGGCAGCUGGCCAUCAGCAGCAGUGUGGGAUCUCUAUGGAGAAAAAUAAAUAAAGCAGCUCCGCUCUCUGCGAGGGGAGAGCGGAAUAUUUACCGCAGCAAAUUGAAACAAAGGGGGAAGCAGCCCGGCCCCGGUGCACACACACGCACGCACACACACGCACUCACUUCAGCCUUUUCUACUGACCUUUGCCUCGAACAGCAAUAACUCACCACAUAAAUGAACAAUCAACGGAAAUACCUUAAAAUAAAAUCCAUCCUUUCUAACGAA